rnacentral:rRNA from 1 species
GGUUAAGCGACUAAGCGUACACGGUGGAUGCCCUGGCAGUCAGAGGCGAUGAAGGACGUGCUAAUCUGCGAUAAGCGUCGGUAAGGUGAUAUGAACCGUUAUAACCGGCGAUUUCCGAAUGGGGAAACCCAGUGUGAUUCGUCACACUAUCAUUAACUGAAUCCAUAGGUUAAUGAGGCGAACCGGGGGAACUGAAACAUCUAAGUACCCCGAGGAAAAGAAAUCAACCGAGAUUCCCCCAGUAGCGGCGAGCGAACGGGGAGGAGCCCAGAGCCUGAAUCAGUGUGUGUGUUAGUGGAAGCGUCUGGAAAGGCGCGCGAUACAGGGUGACAGCCCCGUACACAAAAAUGCACAUACUGUGAGCUCGAUGAGUAGGGCGGGACACGUGGUAUCCUGUCUGAAUAUGGGGGGACCAUCCUCCAAGGCUAAAUACUCCUGACUGACCGAUAGUGAACCAGUACCGUGAGGGAAAGGCGAAAAGAACCCCGGCGAGGGGAGUGAAAAAGAACCUGAAACCGUGUACGUACAAGCAGUGGGAGCCUCUUUAUGGGGUGACUGCGUACCUUUUGUAUAAUGGGUCAGCGACUUAUAUUCUGUAGCAAGGUUAACCGAAUAGGGGAGCCGAAGGGAAACCGAGUCUUAACUGGGCGUUAAGUUGCAGGGUAUAGACCCGAAACCCGGUGAUCUAGCCAUGGGCAGGUUGAAGGUUGGGUAACACUAACUGGAGGACCGAACCGACUAAUGUUGAAAAAUUAGCGGAUGACUUGUGGCUGGGGGUGAAAGGCCAAUCAAACCGGGAGAUAGCUGGUUCUCCCCGAAAGCUAUUUAGGUAGCGCCUCGUGAAUUCAUCUCCGGGGGUAGAGCACUGUUUCGGCAAGGGGGUCAUCCCGACUUACCAACCCGAUGCAAACUGCGAAUACCGGAGAAUGUUAUCACGGGAGACACACGGCGGGUGCUAACGUCCGUCGUGAAGAGGGAAACAACCCAGACCGCCAGCUAAGGUCCCAAAGUCAUGGUUAAGUGGGAAACGAUGUGGGAAGGCCCAGACAGCCAGGAUGUUGGCUUAGAAGCAGCCAUCAUUUAAAGAAAGCGUAAUAGCUCACUGGUCGAGUCGGCCUGCGCGGAAGAUGUAACGGGGCUAAACCAUGCACCGAAGCUGCGGCAGCGACACUAUGUGUUGUUGGGUAGGGGAGCGUUCUGUAAGCCUGCGAAGGUGGCCUGUGAGGGUUGCUGGAGGUAUCAGAAGUGCGAAUGCUGACAUAAGUAACGAUAAAGCGGGUGAAAAGCCCGCUCGCCGGAAGACCAAGGGUUCCUGUCCAACGUUAAUCGGGGCAGGGUGAGUCGACCCCUAAGGCGAGGCCGAAAGGCGUAGUCGAUGGGAAACAGGUUAAUAUUCCUGUACUUGGUGUUACUGCGAAGGGGGGACGGAGAAGGCUAUGUUGGCCGGGCGACGGUUGUCCCGGUUUAAGCGUGUAGGCUGGUUUUCCAGGCAAAUCCGGAAAAUCAAGGCUGAGGCGUGAUGACGAGGCACUACGGUGCUGAAGCAACAAAUGCCCUGCUUCCAGGAAAAGCCUCUAAGCAUCAGGUAACAUCAAAUCGUACCCCAAACCGACACAGGUGGUCAGGUAGAGAAUACCAAGGCGCUUGAGAGAACUCGGGUGAAGGAACUAGGCAAAAUGGUGCCGUAACUUCGGGAGAAGGCACGCUGAUAUGUAGGUGAAGUCCCUCGCGGAUGGAGCUGAAAUCAGUCGAAGAUACCAGCUGGCUGCAACUGUUUAUUAAAAACACAGCACUGUGCAAACACGAAAGUGGACGUAUACGGUGUGACGCCUGCCCGGUGCCGGAAGGUUAAUUGAUGGGGUUAGCGGUAACGCGAAGCUCUUGAUCGAAGCCCCGGUAAACGGCGGCCGUAACUAUAACGGUCCUAAGGUAGCGAAAUUCCUUGUCGGGUAAGUUCCGACCUGCACGAAUGGCGUAAUGAUGGCCAGGCUGUCUCCACCCGAGACUCAGUGAAAUUGAACUCGCUGUGAAGAUGCAGUGUACCCGCGGCAAGACGGAAAGACCCCGUGAACCUUUACUAUAGCUUGACACUGAACAUUGAGCCUUGAUGUGUAGGAUAGGUGGGAGGCUUUGAAGUGUGGACGCCAGUCUGCAUGGAGCCGACCUUGAAAUACCACCCUUUAAUGUUUGAUGUUCUAACGUUGGCCCCUGAUCGGGGUUGCGGACAGUGUCUGGUGGGUAGUUUGACUGGGGCGGUCUCCUCCUAAAGAGUAACGGAGGAGCACGAAGGUUGGCUAAUCCUGGUCGGACAUCAGGAGGUUAGUGCAAUGGCAUAAGCCAGCUUGACUGCGAGCGUGACGGCGCGAGCAGGUGCGAAAGCAGGUCAUAGUGAUCCGGUGGUUCUGAAUGGAAGGGCCAUCGCUCAACGGAUAAAAGGUACUCCGGGGAUAACAGGCUGAUACCGCCCAAGAGUUCAUAUCGACGGCGGUGUUUGGCACCUCGAUGUCGGCUCAUCACAUCCUGGGGCUGAAGUAGGUCCCAAGGGUAUGGCUGUUCGCCAUUUAAAGUGGUACGCGAGCUGGGUUUAGAACGUCGUGAGACAGUUCGGUCCCUAUCUGCCGUGGGCGCUGGAGAACUGAGGGGGGCUGCUCCUAGUACGAGAGGACCGGAGUGGACGCAUCACUGGUGUUCGGGUUGUCAUGCCAAUGGCACUGCCCGGUAGCUAAAUGCGGAAGAGAUAAGUGCUGAAAGCAUCUAAGCACGAAACUUGCCCCGAGAUGAGUUCUCCCUGACUCCUUGAGAGUCCUGAAGGAACGUUGAAGACGACGACGUUGAUAGGCCGGGUGUGUAAGCGCAGCGAUGCGUUGAGCUAACCGGUACUAAUGAACCGUGAGGCUUAACCUU